GACGAACGCUGGCGGCGUGCUUAACACAUGCAAGUCGAACGGUAAGGCCUUCGGGUACACGAGUGGCGAACGGGUGAGUAACACGUGGGUGAUCUGCCCUGCACUUCGGGAUAAGCCUGGGAAACUGGGUCUAAUACCGGAUAUGACUUCUGGCUUCAUGGUUGGGAGUGGAAAGCUUUUGCGGUGUGGGAUGGGCCCGCGGCCUAUCAGCUUGUUGGUGGGGUAAUGGCCUACCAAGGCGACGACGGGUAGCCGGCCUGAGAGGGUGUCCGGCCACACUGGGACUGAGAUACGGCCCAGACUCCUACGGGAGGCAGCAGUGGGGAAUAUUGCACGAUGGGCGCAGGCCUGAUGCAGCGACGCCGCGUGGGGGAUGACGGCCUUCGGGUUGUAAACCUCUUUCGGUAGGGACGAAGCGCAAGUGACGGUACCUACAGAAGAAGCACCGGCCAACUACGUGCCAGCAGCCGCGGUAA
rnacentral:rRNA from 1 species